AUUGGCGGCAUGCAGGGAGGAGCUAGUGUUAGCAGAACCCAGAGGCUGGACAGCUUGGCAGGAGCUAAAGCCAUAGCAGAAGCUAUGUUUAUAUGGAGUAAUUGGCUAAGAAGACUACAUAUUUCUAAAACUUUUCUAUCACCUCAAACAGAAACUCUAACCAAUUGAAGGCAAGACCCUCUUCCACCAGAAAAAAGAUUGUGACUCACUUUACUGUGAUACUGAGGCUUGGAUAGGACUUCGGCAUCCUGUUUGUAAACAAGAUACACUUUGGGGGAUUCUAACAUAGGUGAUCUGGAACCCCCUUUUGAGGCACGCUGAUGUAGAGAAACUGCACCUCCUUGUUCCAGUCUGAUUACCAUGCCAUCUUUUCAUGUCUUACUGCAAGAAGUUAUUUGUCACAGGAGAAACUGAGGGAAAGCAAAAACAUGGCUCAGAACUUGCUAUUCACUUUCACAGAGAAAUAAGGGAGGACCACUCGGAACAUCAGCUCCGCCAAGCCUAAUAAAAGGGGAACGUGCUUGUCAGUGGAGCAGAGCUGAGUUAAGGAUCCUGGUACUCCUCUCCCACUUGGCUUUUGUGAAUUCUGUCUCUCGCUGUAUGAAUCGGUUCUGAUAGUUGAAGGAUUUUACA